GACUAAGGUUUCCUGGGGAAGGCUCGUCCUCCCAGGGUUAGUCGGGACCUAAGCCGAGGCCGAGAGGCGUAGGCGAUGGAUAACAGGUUGAGAUUCCUGUACUAGUUAAACUUGUUUGAACAAUGGAGGGACGCAGGAGGCUAAGGAAUGCACCCGAUUGGAAGUGGGUGUCCAAGCCGUAAGUCUGAAGUCGAGUCAAAUGCUUGAUUUCUUAAGGACAAGCGGUGAUGGGGAGUGAAAUUUAAGUAACGAAGUUCCUGACGUCACGCUGCCGAGAAAAGCUUCUAGUUAGAGUUUAACUACCCGUACCGCAAACCGACACAGGUAGUCGAGGAGAGUAUCCUAAGGUGAGCGAGAGAACUCUCGUUAAGGAACUCGGCAAAAUGACCCCGUAACUUCGGGAGAAGGGGUGCUGAUCGCAAGAUCAGCCGCAGUGAAAAGGCCCAGGCGACUGUUUAUCAAAAACACAGGUUUCUGCAAAAUCGUAAGAUGACGUAUAGGGCUGACGCCUGCCCGGUGCUGGAAGGUUAAGGGGAUGAGUUAGCGUAAGCGAAGCUUUGAACUGAAGCCCCAGUAAACGGCGGCCGUAACUAUAACGGUCCUAAGGUAGCGAAAUUCCUUGUCGGGUAAGUUCCGACCCGCACGAAAGGCGUAACGAUCUGGGCACUGUCUCAACGAGAGACUCGGUGAAAUUAUAAUACCCGUGAAGAUGCGGGUUACCCGCGACAGGACGGAAAGACCCCAUGGAGCUUUACUGUAACUUGAUAUUGAGUGUUUGUACAGCUUGUACAGAAUAGGUAGGAGCCGUAGAAUCCGGAACGCUAGUUUCGGAGGAGGCGCAAGUGGGAUACUACCCUCGUUGUAUGAACCCUCUAACCCGCGCCACUAAUCGUGGCGGGAGACAGUGUCUGGUGGGCAGUUUGACUGGGGCGGUCGCCUCCUAAAAGGUAACGGAGGCGCCCAAAGGUUCCCUCAGAAUGGUUGGAAAUCAUUCGCAGAGUGUAAAGGCAGAAGGGAGCUUGACUGCGAGACAGACAGGUCGAGCAGGGACGAAAGUCGGGCUUAGUGAUCCGGUGGUUCCGUAUGGAAGGGCCAUCGCUCAACGGAUAAAAGCUACCCUGGGGAUAACAGGCUUAUCUCCCCCAAGAGUUCACAUCGACGGGAGGUUUGGCACCUCGAUGUCGGCUCAUCGCAUCCUGGGGCUGUAGUCGGUCCCAAGGGUUGGGCUGUUCGCCCAUUAAAGCGGUACGCGAGCUGGGUUCAGAACGUCGUGAGACAGUUCGGUCCCUAUCCGUCGCGGGCGUAGGAAAUUUGAGAGGAGCUGUCCUUAGUACGAGAGGACCGGGAUGGACACACCGCUGGUGUACCAGUUGUUCCGCCAGGAGCAUCGCUGGGUAGCUAUGUGUGGAUGAGAUAAACGCUGAAAGCAUCUAAGUGUGAAACUCGCCUCAAGAUGAGAUUUCCCAUUGCCUUCGGGCAAGUAAGACCCCUGAGAGAUGAUCAGGUAGAUAGGCUAGAAGUGGAAGUGUAGCGAUACAUGGAGCGGACUAGUACUAAUCGGUCGAGGACUUAACCAA
rnacentral:rRNA from 1 species